UCCACUCUGGGACAAGCCCUGGAAACGGGGUCUAAUACCGGAUACAACCACCGGCCGCAUGGUCUGGUGGUGGAAAGCUCCGGCGGUGGAGGAUGGGCCCGCGGCCUAUCAGCUUGUUGGUGAGGUAACGGCUCACCAAGGCGACGACGGGUAGCCGGCCUGAGAGGGCGACCGGCCACACUGGGACUGAGACACGGCCCAGACUCCUACGGGAGGCAGCAGUGGGGAAUAUUGCACAAUGGGCGAAAGCCUGAUGCAGCGACGCCGCGUGAGGGAUGACGGCCUUCGGGUUGUAAACCUCUUUCAGCAGGGAAGAAGCGAAAGUGACGGUACCUGCAGAAGAAGCGCCGGCUAACUACGUGCCAGCAGCCGCGGUAAUACGUAGGGCGCGAGCGUUGUCCGGAAUUAUUGGGCGUAAAGAGCUCGUAGGCGGUCUGUCGCGUCGGAUGUGAAAGCCCGGGGCUUAACCCCGGGUCUGCAUUCGAUACGGGCAGACUAGAGUGUGGUAGGGGAGAUCGGAAUUCCUGGUGUAGCGGUGAAAUGCGCAGAUAUCAGGAGGAACACCGGUGGCGAAGGCGGAUCUCUGGGCCAUUACUGACGCUGAGGAGCGAAAGCGUGGGGAGCGAACAGGAUUAGAUACCCUGGUAGUCCACGCCGUAAACGGUGGGAACUAGGUGUUGGCGACAUUCCACGUCGUCGGUGCCGCAGCUAACGCAUUAAG
rnacentral:rRNA from 1 species